rnacentral:rRNA from 1 species
GGGAAUCUACCGUGCCCUAAGGAAUAGCUCCGGGAAACUGGAAUUAAUACCUUAUACGCCCUUUGGGGGAAAGAUUUAUCGGGGUAUGAUGAGCCCGCGUUGGAUUAGCUAGUUGGUGGGGUAAAGGCCUACCAAGGCGACGAUCCAUAGCUGGUCUGAGAGGAUGAUCAGCCACAUUGGGACUGAGACACGGCCCAAACUCCUACGGGAGGCAGCAGUGGGGAAUAUUGGACAAUGGGCGCAAGCCUGAUCCAGCCAUGCCGCGUGAGUGAUGAAGGCCCUAGGGUUGUAAAGCUCUUUCACCGGUGAAGAUAAUGACGGUAACCGGAGAAGAAGCCCCGGCUAACUUCGUGCCAGCAGCCGCGGUAAUACGAAGGGGGCUAGCGUUGUUCGGAAUUACUGGGCGUAAAGCGCACGUAGGCGGAUAUUUAAGUCAGGGGUGAAAUCCCGGGGCUCAACCCCGGAACUGCCUUUGAUACUGGGUAUCUAGAGUAUGGAAGAGGUGAGUGGAAUUCCGAGU